rnacentral:rRNA from 1 species
UACGUAGGGUGCAAGCGUUAAUCGGAAUUACUGGGCGUAAAGCGUGCGCAGGCGGUUUUGUAAGUCUGACGUGAAAUCCCCCGGGCUUAACCUGGGAAUUGCGUUGGAGACUGCAAGGCUGGAGUCUGGCAGAGGGGGGUAGAAUUCCACGUGUAGCAGUGAAAUGCGUAGAGAUGUGGAGGAACACCGAUGGCGAAGGCAGCCCCCUGGGCUAACACUGACGCUCAUGCACGAAAGGCGUGGG